rnacentral:rRNA from 1 species
UAAGGAAUAUUGGUCAAUGGACGCAAGUCUGAACCAGCCAUGCCGCGUGAAGGAUGAAGGUCCUCUGGAUUGUAAACUUCUUUUAUCUGGGACGAAAACGGGAUUUUUAUCUCAAUUGACGGUACCAGAGGAAUAAGCACCGGCUAACUUCGUGCCAGCAGCCGCGGUAAUACGAAGGGGGCUAGCGUUGCUCGGAAUUACUGGGUGUAAAGCGUACGUAGGCGGAUGCGCAAGUUGGGGGUGAAAUCCCGGGGCUUAACCUCGGAAUUGUCCUCAAAACUGCACGUCUUGAGACCGAGAGAGGUAAGGGGAAUUCCUAGUGUAGAGGUGAAAUUCGUGGAUAUUAGGAAGAACACCAGUGGCGAAGGCGCCUUACUGGCUCGGUACUGACGCUGAGGUACGAAAGCGUGGGGAGCAAACA